GCUCCCAUGACCAGAAGGAUUUCCUUCCGGUCAACGAAAAAAAAAUCUUGUUAUACCUCAUUGAUUGGAAGGGAUUCCUUCCGUUGAUGAGGAUGUUAUACCUCAUCGGCCGGAAGGGAUUCCUUCCGGUUGAUGAGGUAUAACAACCUCAUCGACCGGAAGGAUUUUCUUCCGGUCAUGGGAGC
rnacentral:miRNA from 1 species